rnacentral:rRNA from 1 species
CCUACGGGCGGCAGCAGUGGGGGAUAUUGCACAAUGGGGGGAACCCUGAUGCAGCGACGCCGCGUGGGUGAAGAAGCGCCUCGGCGCGUAAAGCCCUGUCAGCAGGGAAGAAAAUGACGGUACCUGAAGAAGAAGCCCCGGCUAACUACGUGCCAGCAGCCGCGGGAAUACGUAGGGGGCAAGCGUUAUCCGGAUUUACUGGGUGUAAAGGGGGCGCAGACGGCGAUGCAAGCCAGGGGUGAAAGCCCGGGGCCCAACCCCGGGACUGCUCGUGGAACUGCGUAGCUGGAGUGCAGGAGGGGCAGGCGGAAUUCCUGGUGUAGCGGUGAAAUGCGUAGAUAUCAGGAGGAACACCGGUGGCGAAGGCGGCCUGCUGGACUGCAACUGACGUUGAGGCCCGAAAGCGUGGGGAGCAAACAGGAUUAGAUACCCUAGUAGUC